UCCAUACACAAAAUUGAUCCACACACAUGUUGAGGGAGAGGCAAUUUGGCAUCUUCAAUUCACCUAUCCUGCAUGUUUUUGGCCUGUGGGAGGAAAACGGGAGUAGCCGGAGGGAGUACAUGCAAACUCCAUACAUAAAGGCCACCUGACCUAGCCAGUGCUACCCCCUGAGCCACAGUGCCACCAUACCAACCCAGGAGUCCUGGUGUUGUAUAAAGAGGACACGUCAGAGACAUGGAUAGCAGUGAGAAAUAUGUGGUAAUUAUUAUCUUCUGAAUAGCCAUCUGUCAUCUAUUCCCCUGCAGCUAUAAGCUGCUUCCACAUUCACGAUGCGGUGAAACUGGUUGACAUAGAGGACAUGUUGGGGUUCAAGACUGUUGCUCUGUGAUGUCAAGAGGCUAUUGAUGUGAGAAUAAGCAUCUCCGCCCUGACCGACACUGGGGGUGUGCGAAGGGACCGAGGACUAGCCCGAGGCUCCAAAAAUCAGCUUAUGUGCAGCAAAGUAGAGGCUCGGAUGGCUCCUGUGCAGGAUUUGUGCCAGGAGAUAGUGGCAAAGAGGAGCUCAGCUCGGCACACUGUCUGGAUAUCCAGGCCAAGAUGUAAGCAUUUGACUGAGUGGAUUAGUGGAGCAGCGAGCCGGCAUUUACUGGGCAGUAUUCGGUAUCCAAAGUACCCCGUAUCAAAGGAUCAAAGCCCCCCACAGAUGGCAUAUGAAGAGUCAUCUAUAGUUUUUACACCAGUCAAGAAAAUGUGAUGGUCAGACUGGGAAGGAGCAGGGACCCUGUAGAAGUGGGAAUCAUGGUUGCAAACAUAUGAACACACCGAGGAACAAAUGAAGUACAGUGCAAAGCAUAAUUUGGGCCCCUAAAUCAUCACCCCUCCGUGUGACAACCCUGCCAGAUGCUUGCCAGCACUCCUCAAAAAACAGAGCAUUCAAUGCAACUGGCCAAAUACAACACUGGCACUGUGCCGGACCCGUUUGCUGUGCUGGCACUCGCCCACAUCCAAAACAGCGCUGGCGAUGGUGAAGGAACCUGGGAAAGGUUGCAGGAACUUCAGACCCAUGGACACUAUAAAACCAUCACACAGACUUAGUAUUAUGUGGAGGUCUUUGCUGAAAAUCUAGCAGGAUUCGAAAUAGAUGGAGAAGAUUGAACGCAGGACAGAAAUAGCACAGACGCUCAACACUUAGAAGUUAUUUAAAAUGAUUACUAAAUCAUUUAGGCCUGUGACAUUCUUCUGGCAUGUUAUCGUACGUCUGUCACUUUUAGAAGAAGUCCAGCUUUAUUUAUAGUAACAAGAUCUUUAUAUGGGUGCAUGUAUUGAUUUUCACGAUUUAAUGAGUUUUCGAGCUACGCAAUAAAACACUUUACGCUGCGAUAUCAGUCUAAUGUCAGUUUUUAUGCUAAAUGAAGCAAGCCAAAGUUAUGUUACUAAGCCAAUGCCAAUGUGUGAACAAUACUGGCCGUGAAAAUCCUUGCUUUUUUGCUAAAUUCUGACAUUUGAGAAAUAAAAACAGCUGUGUAAUUUCACUUGUAAUUAUGUUGUUUUGAGUCUUUUCUGGAUGGAGUUAUUUUUUUAGCAGAAAACAAAUCCAAGUGCUAAAAAUACACAGAAGCUAACUCGUUUUUACUUGACGCGUAUGUGCUUGUGUAUGCAUAUUCAUAGCACACCUUUCUCCUGGUGCCCUUUGCCACACUUGGACUUGGGAAAGCUUGAAAAAAGUCACCACUGGUCCCAAUAAUCACUGCAUACGUAGACUUGCAACUCUGCCAGCAGCGCUGGGAGU